GACGAACGCUGGCGGCGUGCUUAACACAUGCAAGUCGAACGGAAAGGCCCUGCUUUUGUGGGGUGCUCGAGUGGCGAACGGGUGAGUAACACGUGAGUAACCUGCCCUUGACUUUGGGAUAACUUCAGGAAACUGGGGCUAAUACCGGAUAGGAGCUCCUGCUGCAUGGUGGGGGUUGGAAAGUUUCGGCGGUUGGGGAUGGACUCGCGGCUUAUCAGCUUGUUGGUGGGGUAGUGGCUUACCAAGGCUUUGACGGGUAGCCGGCCUGGGGGGGUGACCGGCCACACUGGGGCCUAGGGAAGGCCCCAGCUCCUAACGGGGGGAAGAGGGGGGAAGUUUGCACAAUGGGCGGGAGCCUGGUGCAGCAACGCCGCGGGCCGGAAUACGGGCUUCGGGGUGUAAACCGCUUUCGCCUGUGACGAAGCGUGAGUGGACGUUAUGGGUUAAGAAAGACCCGCCUAACUCGGUG
rnacentral:rRNA from 1 species